GGAUACAUAGCUCAAUUGGCAGAGCGCCCGGCUGUUAACCGGGAGGUUGUGGGUUCAAGUCCCUCUGUGUCCGCUA
rnacentral:tRNA from 1 species